UACGUAGGGGGCGAGCGUUGUCCGGAAUCAUUGGGCGUAAAGAGCUCGUAGGCGGUUCAGCAAGUCGGCUGUGAAAGUCCAGGGCUCAACCCUGGGAUGCCGGUCGAAACUGUCGGACUAGAGUUCGGAAGAGGCGAGUGGAAUUCCCGGUGUAGCGGUGAAAUGCGCAGAUAUCGGGAGGAACACCGGUGGCGAAGGCGGAUCUCUGGGCCUUACCUGACGCUGAGGCGCGAAAGCUAGGGGAGCGAACAGG
rnacentral:rRNA from 1 species